rnacentral:lncRNA from 1 species
AUUUCUGGGACCGGGAGCUGUCCAGCGCCUCGGGUCCUGACGGACCGCUGAUUCGCCUAGGUGCCAUCGGACAAGCGGGUGCUCAGAGCCAGCUCUGGUGGCUCGGGAGCUUUCCCCCAACCAGGCUAAGACCACUAAACCACGCCUGGCCCGGAUGAGCUUGGAUGCAGCUCCGAACGUGGGGAUCCAUCGGUGCUGAGAACUGACCUAGGGAGCACCUUGACCCCUGCCCUAUCUGGGCACAAUUGAAGGGCCAAGUGCCACCAGCCCACUUUCCUGGAACCCUGUCUCAGACUUGGGCAGGAAGAAGAGCCAUGAGAGGUCAGGCCUUGCCUCUCCCCGCGUUCCCCAUCUUUCUCUGUGCCUCUGUUUCUGUUUUCCUCCGGCUCUCCUCCCUCCUCCUCUCUUUCCUUCCCUGCUGGGUUGGGGGCUGCUGAAUUAUCAUUUCUCAGCUCUGCUAAUGUGCUCCCCGCUGCGGGAAGGGAUCAUAAUUCUGGGAGAUGAUUAAGUUUCAAAUUGUUUUUCUUUGUGUUGUUGAAGAUGAGGCUUUAAUAUGGUCCUUCCUCAGCCCGGGAGCCUGCCCCCAUUCCUCCACUCCUAGUACUCUCCUCACUAAUAGGCUAGGU